UACGGAGGGUGCGAGCGUUGUCCGGAAUCACUGGGCGUAAAGGGCGCGUAGGUGGCGCGGGCAGUCAACGGUGAAAGUUCGGGGCUCAACCCUGAAUCGGCCGUCGAUACUCCCGUGCUUGAGCACUGUAGAGGCAGAUGGAAUUCCGGGUGUAGCGGUGGAAUGCGCAGAUAUCAGGAGGAACACCCGUGGCGAAAGCGGCUCUCUGGGACGGUACUGACGCUGAGACGCGAAAGCGUGGGGAGCGAACAGG
rnacentral:rRNA from 1 species